AUUCAUCGUAGACUCUCUUAUACACACCAUCCUGAGCAGAAUGGUUUAGCAGAACGUAAAUAUCGCCAUCCUGUUGAAACAACAUUCACUCUUCUUGCCCAAACAUUAGCAGCAGCACCACUUCAACCAAACCCAAAUCCUCUUUCACCCGAUCUCUCCAAUACGGCCAUCUCGUCAUCUUCACAACCCUUGCCGCCGCCGGCUCUCUCACCAAAUGACGCUCCCCAAAUGCCCCCCCCCCUCCAGCUCGCCAACUCCCAACCCCAUUCUUCCUCCUCUCAACUGGUUUGGUUCGGUGGAGCGGUACAAUGCUCGCCUAGUUGCCAAAUUCUCUAUCAAGAGUCGAGUCUCUCACCGCUAUACUUUUAUUCAUUCUUGAUCUUUUUUGUUACUGGCACGAAUGACAUGAACAUCCAUUGAUCAAAAACUGCUAUAUUUGAAGUCGAUCCGAUCCCAACUUCAAAUUCCCACGAACCCCAGGUUAGUAUUUUUGCAGCUCUGCUCAUGAUUUAUUCUAAAAGAGGCAUCACUCCCUAAUUGAUCAUGGAUUUAUAUGCCGAAUUUCUUAUGAAGUAGGGAAGAGAAACCAGAAAACACAAAUGCAUGUUUUCCAUGAUAGUUUAUUCCAAGCCUUGAAAUAGCAAGUGUUGAAAGCUUCUUGGGUUACUCAUAUCUGUUGUACUUGGACGCUUACUCUUCUAUAAGUAGAAUAAGUAGGUUUCAUUGGAAAUGAGCAUACAAAGAAUCUCUACAUCUUUCCCCCCUUCAACUCCUCAGUGGAAAUAUGAUGUUUUUCUGAGCUUUGGAGGCGAUGACGCUCACUAGGCUUUUAUAGACCACUUAUACACUGCAUUGGAACAUCAAGGAAUCAUAACUUUCAAGGACGAUCCUGAACUUCAAAAAGGGGAAGCUAUUUCUCCAGCACUUUUUGCUGCAAUUGAAGAAUCGAGAUUUGCUCUCAUUGUUCUCUCAUAAAAUUAUGCAUCGUCAACAUGGUGCUUGUAUGAACUUGUGAGGAUUCUUGAAUGCAUGAAAGCAAGAAAAACUGUGCUGCCAAUUUUCUAUGAUGUUGAUCCAUCUGAUGUUCGAAAGCAAACAGGGAGUUUUAGAGAAGCCUUUGCUAAUCAUGAAGAAAGGUUUAGGGAUGACAAAGAGAAAGUGCGAAGGUGGAGAUAUGCUUUAACUGAAGUGGCAAGUUUCUCAGGGUGGAAUUCAAAGCAAUGACUUUUAGGCAGGAAUGGUGUGGCGGCCGGGCUGAAAAGGCAACGGUGGAGUUGCUCUUAUAAUUUUCCUCCUGCUAAAGUCUUCACCCACCAAAUGAUGAAAAUUUAUUUCCCUCUCAAGAUUCAAGUCUCUCACCACUUUGCUUCUCUUCAUUCUUGAUCUUUUCAAACUGCUAUAUUUGAAGUUGAUCUGAUCCCAGCUUCAAAUUCCCACAAAACCCAGUAGGGAAGGCACACCAGGAAACACAAUUGCAUGUUUUCCAUGAUAGUAACUUCCAAGCCUUGAAAUUGUGUUGAAAGCUUCUCGGGUUAUUCAUAUCGAUAGUCCUUGGACAUGUACUCUUCUACAAGUAGGAAAGUAGGUUUCAUCGGAAAUGA